CAUAUGUUUGUUUGCUGGUGUUCAAUGGAACCUGAGGGAGGGCAUAAUGGAUCUCCGUUACUAAACCAUGUGGAAGGCUUCCAGAGAUUUAAUAGUCUACCUCGAGUCAAAUCCAAGAGUUAAGUCCUACCAUGGAAAUUGAAGCCAGUGCCUUCAGCACAAAUUUGGUGUGUAGCCAAACAUCAGGACGUUCUUGGUACCUCAAGCAAUAUUUGAAGGAGAUGAGAUGGUGAAGGCCCGAAGCCCUUCUGCAGUCGUCUUUUCGUGGACUUGUUAAGGAUCUGUGCAUGGAAUAAAUAAAUCGUAAUCUCGUAUGAGUCUUCCA
rnacentral:lncRNA from 1 species